GCAUUAAUGGGGUAGUGGUAACCUGGGUCGUUGCCAUCUGACAAGUUGUCGACCCGCCGGGGGUUCGAUUCCCCCUUAAUGCA
rnacentral:tRNA from 1 species